AAAUUGAAGAGUUUGAUCAUGGCUCAGAUUGAACGCUGGCGGCAGGCCUAACACAUGCAAGUCGAACGGUAGCACAGAGAGCUUGCUCUCGGGUGACGAGUGGCGGACGGGUGAGUAAUGUCUGGGAAACUGCCUGAUGGAGGGGGAUAACUACUGGAAACGGUGGCUAAUACCGCAUAACGUCGCAAGACCAAAGAGGGGGACCUUCGGGCCUCUUGCCAUCAGAUGUGCCCAGA
rnacentral:rRNA from 2 species